rnacentral:rRNA from 1 species
UACGUAGGGGGCUAGCGUUGUCCGGAAUCAUUGGGCGUAAAGCGCGCGUAGGCGGCCAGAUAAGUCCGGUGUGAAAGUCACAGGCUCAACCUGUGAAUGCCGCUGGAAACUGUCUGGCUAGAGUCCGGAAGGGGCGAGUGGAAUUCCUGGUGUAGCGGUGAAAUGCGCAGAUAUCAGGAGGAACACCAAUGGCGAAGGCAGCUCGCUGGAACGGUACUGACGCUGAGACGCGAAAGCGUGGGGAGCGAACAGG